AGAGUGCUAAGAAAUGGCAAAAAUAAAUUCUGAACAAGAGAUCAUCUUUCCUCAGAAACAGACUGUGUAUCUGGGUUAGAGUCACCCGUCAGAAUUAUAUGCGGAAUUCAGUAAAGAUCUUCAAAAAUAUUCUUAAUUAUGGUAAAGUUAUCUCAACAGCUGGAUGCAUACUUUUUUCACAUAUUAUUUUUCAUCUCCCCAGACCUCAAAAAGCUCUCCUGAAAAAAAUGUACCAUUGUUCGUCUGCUGAAAAAAAUACUUAAAAGUUUGACUGCAGCAGUAAUAUAAUCAACCAAACUCAAAGGAAAACCAGGCCGGGCUGGUCACCACUUAAAGCAACAGGCUGUCUUGCCACCUUUGACCCUAGUGCAAAGCUGUGUCUGGCACAAAGUAGGAUCAUAAACACUGAACAAAUGAAUGGAUGAAUGAAUGUACGAACAGUUGCUGGAUUUGUCCCCUGUUCCGAAAUCUGCGAGCCACACCGAUAAGUAGGCCAUCCACCGUCUCUACUACCUCCGAUACAAAACCAGUGUUGGAGGCAAGAAUUCUCGGUGUCUGACAACUUGCCUAUGUCGUCAGUUUCUCAAGGUGUGUCAUGAUAUGAAACAGGUUGAGAAGCUUUGCCCUACAUUUCUGUAUCACUGUGCCUCACCCAGGAUCUGAAAGGUAGAAAGCACAAGCGUUUGCUGAAGCAAUGAAUAAAUAAAUGCC